UAUCCAGUUUGCCUCAGAAUGACGGGCUUGCAGGACCAGCCACUAGGACUGAUUCUCAUAUGACUCCUGGCAUCCCUCAAAUGCCUACGGGUGAAGGAUCUACAGGACCAGCCGUUUGUGCCGAUACUCUUAUGACUCUUGGCAUCCCGGCUGUAUCUGAGGACGGGGGGAAUGCAGG